AUGGAUUUGGUAUCUGCCCCCAUCGGCCCUCGUCCUGUCUAUGAUUCAGAUGUGGAGGUAUAUGAACCAGAAAUUCCAACCGAACCUCUUGUCAAGAGGUUAAAUUUAGUUGAAAAAGAAAACGAUUACUUGAAGAAAAAAUUGAAAAGAAUUGAGGAGGAGAAGAUGGCAUUGGAGUUGCAUGUUGCGGAUAUCGUCGAUGAUCACAAGAUCAAGAUGGAUAAAAUACAUUUGAAGAUUAGAAAGACUAAAAAAUAUGCCAUUCAUACUCAGGCUUGGUAUCAUUAUACCGUUGGAUCAAUUGUUACCUUAGUUGCAAUUAUGAUUGCAUAUGUUGUUGCAUUGAAAUGUUUUACAUAG
rnacentral:rRNA from 1 species